UUCCAGACUCCUACGGGAGGCAGCAGUGGGGAAUAUUGCACAAUGGGGGAAACCCUGAUGCAGCGACGCCGCGUGAGCGAUGAAGUAUUUCGGUAUGUAAAGCUCUAUCAGUAGGGAAGAAAAUGACGGUACCUGACUAAGAAGCCCCGGCUAACUACGUGCCAGCAGCCGCGGUAAUACGUAGGGGGCAAGCGUUAUCCGGAUUUACUGGGUGUAAAGGGAGCGUAGACGGCAGCGCAAGUCUGAAGUGAAAUGCCGGGGCUUAACCCCGGAACUGCUUUGGAAACUGAGCAGCUAGAGUGCAGGAGAGGUAAGUGGAAUUCCUAGUGUAGCGGUGAAAUGCGUAGAUAUUAGGAGGAACACCGGCGGCGAAGGCGGCCUGCUGGACCGCGACUGACGUUGAGGCUCGAAAGCGUGGGGAGCGAACAGGAUUAGAUACCCUCGUAAU
rnacentral:rRNA from 1 species